rnacentral:rRNA from 1 species
UACAGAGGGUGCAAGCGUUAAUCGGAAUUACUGGGCGUAAAGCGCGCGUAGGUGGUUUGUUAAGUUGGAUGUGAAAUCCCCGGGCUCAACCUGGGAACUGCAUCCAAAACUGGCAAGCUAGAGUAUGGUAGAGGGCGGUGGAAUUUCCUGUGUAGCGGUGAAAUGCGUAGAUAUAGGAAGGAACACCAGUGGCGAAGGCGACCACCUGGACUGAUACUGACACUGAGGUGCGAAAGCGUGGGGAGCAAACAGG